AACAAAUAAAAUUACAAAAAUGUGAUCGUCUUGUCAACUGCUAUAGAAUAGCUGAACAUACACUCCGUGCCGUUAAGCAGAUUUGAGACCAGAACCAGCCAUCAUAGCCACAAGAUAUGCAAGUUUUCCUUGUACUAGAUCUGUCAUCAGCAAUAACAGUCUGUAUCAUGCCUUGGGUAAACAGCAUCCAGUUUGAUUAGAGAUACUACCGAUGUUGAUCGAGUUAUGGGUCUCUUCUUCCCCUGUCUUUAAAUGUCCUCGUGUACACCCAUGUCAGUGUGGGUGUAUUAUUCACGAGGACCCCCUCUUCCCAUCUGGUGGAUUCAACUUUUCUACGGAUGGAGCACACUUGUGUAUUUUGUAUUUCCCAGGCUUAAAGGUAGGACAAAUUAAAGCUAAAUUCUUCUUUUUUGACUUUUUGGUGGUGUUGAUUGUAAUUCCUGAGCUAUGCGAUUGACUGGAACCAUUUUCUCUUGCCGUUUUUUGUUGACUAUUAGUCAGGAUUGAUUUUGAAAUACGUCAUUUGUAG